rnacentral:rRNA from 1 species
GCCUGUUUAUCAAAAACAUAGCCAUUAGAUGAUAUUAUAUGGUUCAACCUGCCCAAUGUUUAUUUAUAAAUAAAUGGCCGCGGUACCCUGACCGUGCUAAGGUAGCGUAAUCAGUUGACUUUUAAAUGAAGUCAGGAAUGAAUGGGAGAACCGGGUUUGACUGUCUCUAAGUUACUUUAUUGAAUUUACUUUCUAAGUGAAAAAGCUUAGACCUGGUAAAGGGACGAGAAGACCCUUAGAAUUUUUUUUAAAAAGGUUUAUUAAUUUUUAUGAUUUUAUUGGGGCGAUAAAGAAAUAAUUAAAACUUUCUUUUACAAUAAGCCGAUUAUAUUAAGCAAGAAUAAAUUACCUGAGGGAUAACAGCAUAAUUCUAAAAUUGAGUUUGUGACCUCGAUGUUGGACUAGGAAACUAAUAGGCUAGCCGUUUGUUAUGUUAGGUUCUGUUCGAACUUUUAUUCCU